rnacentral:rRNA from 1 species
AGUGAACGCUGGCGGUAGGCCUAACACAUGCAAGUCGAACGGCAGCACAGUAAGAGCUUGCUCUUACGGGUGGCGAGUGGCGGACGGGUGAGGAAUACAUCGGAAUCUACUUUUUCGUGGGGGAUAACGUAGGGAAACUUACGCUAAUACCGCAUACGACCUACGGGUGAAAGCAGGGGAUCUUCGGACCUUGCGCGAUUGAAUGAGCCGAUGUCGGAUUAGCUAGGUGGCGGGGUAAAGGCCCACCAAGGCGACGAUCCGUAGCUGGUCUGAGAGGAUGGUCAGCCACACUGCAACUGAGCCACGGUCCAGACUCCUACGGGAGGCGGCAGUGGGGAAUAUUGGACAAUGGACGCAAGCCUGAUCCAGCCAUGCCGCGUGGGUGAAGAAGGCCUUCGGGUUGUAAAGCCCUUUUGUUGGGAAAGAAAAGCAGCAGGUUAAUACCCCGCUGUUCUGACGGUACCCAAAGAAUAAGCACCGGCUAACUUCGUG